GACGAACCGUGCGAACGUUGUUCGGAAUCACUGGGCUUAAAGGGCGCGUAGGCGGGCCCUCAAGUCCGGGGUGAAAUCCUCCCGCCUAACGGGAGAAGCGCCUCGGAGACUGAGGGCCUCGAGGGGGGUAGGGGCGUGCGGAACUAUGGGUGGAGCGGUGAAAUGCAUUGAUAUCCAUAGGAACUCCGGUGGCGAAGGCGGCACGCUGGACCCCUUCUGACGCUGAGGCGCGAAAGCCAGGGGAGCAAACGGG
rnacentral:rRNA from 1 species